UACGUAGGUGGCAAGCGUUGUCCGGAUUUACUGGGCGUAAAGAGCGCGCAGGCGGUCGUUCAAGUCGCGUGUGAAAGCCCCCGGCUCAACUGGGGAGGGUCACGCGAUACUGAUCGACUGGAAGGCAGGAGAGGGUAGUGGAAUUCCCGGGUGUAGUGGUGAAAUGCGUAGAUAUCGGGAGGAACACCAGUGGCGAAGGCGACUACCUGGCCUGUUCUUGACGCUGAGGCGCGAAAGCUAGGGGAGCAAACUGG
rnacentral:rRNA from 1 species